UGGUUGGCAGUGAAUGGAAGGACAGAAUUGUUACACGAUUUGUUUAUGUACACACAAGAUGUGGAUGUUGAGGAUGCUCAAGGACAAACAGCUUUACAUGUUGCCUGUCAGAAUGGUCACAAAUCUACAGUUGUAUGUUUACUUGACCAUGGAGCAGAAAUCAACAGACCAAAUCAUUAUGGAUGGAUGCCUUUACAUUUUGCCUGCAGUCAUGGUCAGCAUGAUACAGCUACAAUAUUAUUACAAAGAGGAGCAGUAUUUCUACCAGAUAAAAAUAAUAAAACACCACUGGAUUUUUGUAUAGAGGGAGGAUACUGUGAAACCUGUGACAAUUUACUGACACAUUUUCCAAAAUUAUUUGAACAAUUGAUUCAGAUGGUCAGGAAAGAAGAUCUCAAAGAAUCUAUGUAUUUGAAGGUGCUGAAAUUUCUGUGCAAAAAGAAUAAUGAAAUGGCAGAUAGAAUAUUGGUAGCAUUAGCUGAAGAAUUAUCAAACAUAGGACAUAAUCUUCUGAGUUUAUCCAGUAAUGUUGAAGUCCAUGUUUCAGUACUGUUGACCUGUGUCAGAGUUCUAUGUAAACUUUACACAUCAGUAUAUCAGUCUAUGACAGCAUCCAUACAGUCAGCAGUAGUCAAUGGUGUCACUCCUGUCUCACCAAAAGCUAUAAGGAUAUUCAAGCCAGCAGAAAGUCUAUGGCAGCUCCUGGAAGACUGGCUUAAUUUGCUACAAGUAGAAUUUGAUCAGAAAAGUCCCAGACAAUCUAUGGCAAAUCUUGUUGAAAAUGAAAAUGGAUCUCAUUCAGUUGAAAAGCCAAAGACAAUGAAUACCACUAACUCUUCAAAUGCAUCUCCACAACAACAACAGGCAGCUAAUCAGUACUCAGAUGUUCACUGUAGUAAAGAUAAACUUCAAGUAUCAGAGGGAAUUUUAAAACAUAUGAGUUUAGAGGACCAGGAUGUCAUUGGUGCUACAUUACCAAGGAUCUGUGGUGUUGUUCAGGCAUUUUAUAUCACAUGUUCUUGUCAUACCCAAUUAGAGAUUACAUCUCCAAGAUUCAUAGAGUUUGUUUGUAAACAUAAUAAGGUGCUCAAAGCUUUAGUUCAGAGAAAUACCACUGUGAUAUUUGAUCAUUUCCAUUUCUUAUUGGAAUGUCCAGAAUUGAUGUCUCAGUUCAUACAUAUCAUUAAAUUGCAGCCUUUUAUUAAAAGAAGAGAAUGGUUUUACCAGAAUAUAUCUGAUGAUGAAAAUCAAAGUGAAGUGUUACAUAUCCCAGCUACUGACCAGGACAUUCUCAUUAUAAAUAGAGAAAGAAUAUUUGAUAGUAGCUGUGACAGGGUACUUAAAGAAAAUCCAGAUAAAUUGAAGAAAGGACUAGCAUUAAAGUUUGAUGGUGAAGAGGGCAUGGGACAGGGAGUAGUGAGAGAAUGGUUUGAUGUUUUAUCUAAAGAAAUCCUAAAUCCAGAUUAUGCCUUGUUUACCCAGUCAGCAGAUGGGAGUACAUUCCAGCCAAACAGUAACUCUGCCAUAAAUCCAGACCACCUUAACUACUUUAGAUUUGCAGGACAAAUCUUAGGACUUUGUCUUUAUCACAAGCAGUUAAUCAAUGUUUACUUUACCAGAUCAUUUUAUAAACAUAUCCUAGGUAUCCCAGUGAAUUAUACAGAUGUGGCAUCUAUUGAUCCUGACUACGCUAAAAAUCUGCAGUGGAUACUUGACCAUGACAUUGACAAUUUAGGAUUGGAUCUGACAUUUUCUGUUGAGACUGAUGUGUUUGGUGUGAUGCAGGAAGUAGAAUUAAAACCAGGAGGAAGUCAUAUAACAGUGACAGAAGAAAACAAGACAGAGUAUGCUCAGUUAGUAACAGAAUUAAGAAUGACAAGAGCCAUACAGCCACAGAUAAAUAGUUUUCUAUCUGGUUUCCAUCAAUACAUUCCACAAUCACUGAUACAAAUGUUUGAUGAGUAUGAAUUGGAGUUAAUGUUGUCUGGUAUUCCAGAGAUAGAUAUCAGUGACUGGGAGAAACAUACAGAAUACAAUGGCUAUGAUAGACAAUCUCCUGUUAUCCAGUGGUUUUGGGAAAUUGUUGAAGAUUUCAGUCAAGAGAACAGAGUUUUGCUGCUUCAGUUUACUACUGGCAGUUCCCGAGUACCGUUUGGAGGUUUUGCAAAGUUUGUUGGUGGAGGAGGUCCACAACACUUUACCAUAGCUAUAGUUCCUUAUAAAGAACAUACAUUACCUACAGCUAGUACUUGUAUCAACAUGCUGAAAAUACCAGAAUAUAAAUCAAAGACUGAGUUACAUAACAGACUGAUGGUAGCUUUACAGUGUGGUAACCAAGGUUAUGCUUUUGCAUGAACAGGAAGUGCAAAUAAUUUUGGGAUUGACAAUAAAGACCAGUUCUAGAUGGAAUUUGCUUGUGGAAGAAUAAGAAUAAAUAGUACAUACUGAUCAAAAAGCAAAUUUAGAGAGUUUAUAAAUGCUAUGAAAUAGCAUAUUUAGUAAACAAAUAGUAAUGGAAAGCUUUCACAAUAACCUUCCCAUAUAUGCCUUCUUCUCUACUGUAGAAUAUAUAUUAAAAGAGUAUAAGCCUUAUCUGAAAAAAAUGAUCUGCUGAUGUUCUAUAUAAAAUGUAUUGUUACUUUAUAUGUUUUAAAAAGGUGAUAAAAAAUCUCAGUUUAAAUGCAUUUCUGUUUUAAAGGCAUGAAUUCAAAAAUACAUAGAAUAUAAUUGAAAACUACUACAUUGUACAUGGGUUUGUAAAAACCAUUCUUUUUUUUUUCUGUAUGAUGUAAUUCUUCAAUCGGUAUUUUCAAAUUUUGGUAAAAGUCAAUUUACUUUUGAGUAAAUCAAGUGACCAUUUUAAAGAUUUUAGCCCCUUUUUAAUAUUAAAUUAUUCAAGAUAAGGCCUACUGUGAUAUAAAACAUAUUCAAUUGCAUUCAAAAGUGUCUGAUAUCCAACAAAAAAUCCAUUAGUACUAAAUAGUUUUUUAAGUAAAGUUGUCUCUUCGAAAAACUCUGGAUUAUGAACAUCUUGAACUGUUUGAAUAACUACUUAAAAUGUCCCUUUUAUUCAAAUAAUACUGAAAUGGCGUAGUCAUUUGAGUUAAGGAGGACUGUUUGAUAAAUCCUUUAACACAUUUUCUGUUAGUAAUGGAGAACCAAUUUUUUGUCAGAUCUAAGGAAAAUAUUUGAUCACAGAUUGAAUCUGACAUCAACUGAAUGCAAGAUGAAACAUCGAAAACUAAAACCUUGUACAACAUUCCAGGUUCUGAUACUUCAAUAGAAUGAAACGUAGUACACAUGUUCAUUAUAUUGUGAACUAUUAAAAUUAUGUGUCAUAUUAUGGUUUUGACCUCAAUUACACAGUUCACUGAACACAGAAAUGUGAUAGUGAGAAAUAAGUACAGUCUCAGGAUAAAUGUUUUGUAAAGGUAGUUUACCAAGAAUCUUUGGAAAUAUAAGCUUGAAACUUAGUCCACUUGUUAAUUGUGAGGUGAACUGUGAAUAUAUAUAUGACAAAUAACACUAACACUGAUUUCACAUAAUCAGAUAAUAGUGCAAGCAAGCAAGGCAGGGUGUCACAUGGAAACAUAGUCAUGUUACUAAAUAUUUCAUCUAUUGAUAAUAAUUGAUACAUUUUACAACUCCUAUAGAAUAGUAUAGAAUAGGAACAUGCUGAAUAUUGGUAACAAACUAGUUCUUAAAAGAGAAUGAUUUUUUUUAGUAUUCAUAAGAAUAACAGCUAACUAAAGACAUGUAUAUAUGUAUUUACCAAAAAGGAUAUCAGAUAUUAUGUAAAUAUAAGUGAACCAUUUGUUAAAGUACUAAUAUUGUAUUGUUUUGUUCUAAGUUCUGUUUUACUUGAAUUAAUAGUUGUUUAUAUUGUUCAUUUUUUUUUAUUUAUUUGAUUUCCUAUUUUAAUAGAUGUUUCAUCCAAUAACUUGCUGUGAUACUUUUGUAAGCAUCAUAUUAUGACUAACAUUUUGAUAAUGUCUAAAGAUUUGACCAAAGUUGUUUGAAUGACUAGUCAAAAUUUAAUAUUUAGGUCUCUUUUAUUUUCUUUUUUGAAUAUUGUACAAAGUGAUUAUUUUUUGCUCACCUGGCUCUAUAGUGAGCUACUGCGAUCACUUGGACUCUGUAGUCUUUUAACUUAAAAAAAAAAAAAAAUCGUUUCCUCUGUAACAUGUUGUCAGACCAAUUUCACCAGACUUGGGUUAUAUGAUCUUUAAGGAAUCUAGUACGAUGUAUGUGUUUUUUAUGCCUCAUUUAUGGUCAUUAUGUUUUUUGGUCUGUACAUCAGUUCGUUCUGUCGUCUGUCCCGCUUCAGGUUAAAGUUUUUGGUCAAGGUAGCUUUUGAUGAAGUUGAAGUCCAAUCAAUUUGAAACUUAGUACACAUGUUCCCUAUGAUAUUAUCUUUCUAAUUUUAGUGCCAAUUUAGAGUUUUGACCCCAAUUUCACGGUCCACUGAAUGUAGAAAAUGAUUGUGGGAGUGGGGCAUCUGUGUACUGUGGACACAUUAUUGUUUAUUCUUGUCCUUCAAUCAACAUGUUAAAAAAUAAAACAAGGGUGAAUGCAUGAAUUGUCUUGUAUCUUGAUAACCAUUUUAGAUCGAGAAAAUGAGAGCGACUGAAAUGUUCAGAAUGUGAAAAUAGUCUUACUUUCUAAAUUCACCAAAACUAUCAGAUGACUUAUCUUAGAAAUUAUUGUCCUUAAUUGAUGAUUGUUGACUACUUUUUUUCCUUUUGUAUAACAAAUUGUCAUACCUAGGAAAAAAUUGUAAAGUUAAAAAGUGAUUAGCAAUAUAGAAUCUAAACAAUUCUUUAGACCAAAACCAUUGAAUGACUUCUUGUAGUAGUUAUUGCCUUUAAAUGAUGAUUUUUGUCGAGCCUGCGACUUUUGUCGCAGAAAGCUCGACAUAGGGAUAGUGAUCCGGCGGCGGCGGCGGCGGCGGCGGCGGCGUUAGCUAACUUCUUAAAAGCUUUAUAUUUUAGAAGGUGGAAGGUCUGGAUGCUUCAUACUUUGUAUAUGGAUGCCUCAUGUUACGAAGUUUCCUUCAGUCACAUGUCCAAUGUCCUUGACCUCAUUUUCAUGGUUCAGUGACUACUUGAAAAAAAAGUUAAGAUUUUUUGUAAUGUUAGAUUCUCUCUUAUUAUAAGUAAUAGGAUAACUAUAUUUGGUAUGUGCGUACCUUGCAAGGUCCUCAUGCCCGUCAGACAGUUUUCACUUGACCUCGACCUCAUUUCAUGGAUCAGUGAACAAGGUUAAGUUUUGGUGGUCAAGUCCAUAUCUCAGAUACUAUAAGCAAUAGGUCUAGUAUAUUCGGUGUAUGGAAGGACUGUAAGGUGUACAUGUCCAACUGGCAGGUGUCAUCUGACCUUGACCUCAUUUUCAUGGUUCAGUGGUUAUAGUUAAGUUUUUGUGUUUUGGUCUGUUUUUCUUAUACUGUAUGCCAUAGGUCUACUAUAUUUGGUGUAUGGAAUGAUUGUAAGGUGUACAUGUCUAGCGGGCAGGUGUCAUUUGACCUUGACCUCAUUUUCAUGGUUCAGUGGUCAAAGUUAAGUUUUUGAGUUUUGGUCUUUUUUUCUAAUACUAUGUGCAAUAGUUCAACUUUAUUUGGUAUGUGCGUACCUUGCAAGGUCCUCAUGCCCGUCAGACAGUUUUCACUUGACCUCGACCUCAUUUCAUGGAUCAAUGAACAAGGUUAAGUUUUGGUGGUCAAGUCCAUAUCUCAGAUACUAUAAGCAAUAGGUCUAGUAUAUUCGGUGUAUGGAAGGACUGUAAGGUGUACAUGUCCAACUGGCAGGUGUCAUCUGACCUUGACCUCAUUUUCAUGGUUCAGUGGUUAUAGUUAAGUUUUUGUGUUUUGGUCUGUUUUUCUUAUACUGUAUGCAAUAGUUCAACUAUAUUUGGUGUAUGGAAAUAUUUUAUGAUCUAUUUGGCAGUCACGCAGGUUUUAUUUGACCUUGACCUCAUUUUCAAGGUUCAUUGCUCAGUGUUAAGUUUUUGUGUUUUGGUCUGUUUUUCUUAAACUAUAAGCAAUAGGUCAACUCUAUUUGUUGUAUGGAAGAAUUGUUAGCUGUACAUGCCUGCCUAGCAUGGGUCAUCUGACCUUGACCUCAUUUUCAUGGUUCAUUGGUCAAUGUUUAGUUUACUUGGUUAAUGUUAAGUUUAUGUGACUGUUGUAAUAAAGCUUUAUAUUUAGGACUAUCAACAUAAUAUCAAUGAUUAGUAAAGAAGGCGAGACAUUUCAGCGUGUGCACUCUUGUUUACCAAUUUGCUUGUUACUGAUUAUUUUGUCAAACAACUGUAAUAGAUAGCUUUGAAACUAAAAAACUGGAAAAAAUUAUCAGCAAUAUUAGUUCUAAAGUAGUGCUAAUAUGACCAAAAUCAUUUGAUGAAUACUUACAGGAGUUAUUACAUUUAAAUGAUAAGACUGUCCGUCCACCAUUAAGUUGUUGUGUGGAACUUUAACCACGCCAACUAACUGAUUAAAUGACAAUGUUUGGGUGUUUUGUCGAUUAUUUUGAAACUAUUAUAGAUUAAUAAAAAGUCCAUUAGAAAUGCUAUUUUUGGAUAGGAAAAAUAUAAUGUAUAGAUAUAAUGGAUGUAACUAAGAAUUGAAUUUAGUUAACAAUGUAAUGUAUAAUUUGUUAUUGUUGUUUGUUCUUUAUUUGUUCUUAUUUUAGGACAUGUUGUUGUCUUUUUUUAUUGUUUUUUUUCAAAUGCCUCUUUGGUAUCUUCUCUCUCUCUUUUCUAAAAGAACUAAAAUAACAAAGAUCUAUGUUGCCUACCUUUCCAGACGUAAUUGUAGAAGGUUAAAUCUUUGAUUUGUGAUUAACCUGUCGUUUUGAAUGCAAUUAAAAUUUGAUUAUAUGCCAUUAA